AGCCUCCCUUGUCCCGGGGGCGCCUCUCCGUGCGAGAGUGGGUUCUGCCUAGUGGGGAAAUAAACUUCGGGGUAAGGCGUCCUGACGGUGUCCACGGGCAAGGGGGUCGGCACAGGGCGGGCGUGCCGACAUGGAGGGAGAUGAAGAGGAAGACUACAUGUCUGAUGCGUUUAUUAAACAGGAUGUAAGGCCCGGCUUGCCCAUGGUAAGACGGGUGAAAGAAGCUAUUCAGAAAGAAGAAAAGCAAAAGGAAGCCAAUGAGAAAAACAGGCAAAAGAGUAUAAAAGAAGAAGAAAAAGAGAGGCGAGACUUGGUGUUGAAAAGCGCGUUGGGCAACGAGAACAAAGGCUUUGCUUUGCUCCAGAAGAUGGGCUACAAGAGCGGCCAGGCCCUUGGCAAAAGCGGAGAAGGCAUUGUUGAACCUAUUCCUCUGAACAUAAAAACAGGCAGAAGUGGGCUUGGUCACGAGGAAUUAAAAAAGCGAAAAGCUGAAGAAAAACUGGAAAACUAUAGACAAAAACUCCAUAUGAAAAAACAAGCAAAUGAACAAGCUGCAGAUCAGUUCAGAAUAAGAUUCAAAAACAAACAAGAAGAACGUAAGAUGGAAGGGGACCUAAGAAAAAGCCAGAGAGCCUGCCAGCAAUUAGAUAUGCAAAAAGACAUCGAAGUUCCCAAAGAAACUUGGUUUUGGAUAGAACCUGAAGAGGAAGACAAAAAGGAGGAGGAAGACAAGGAAGAUGAAUGCACAAGCUCAGACUUAAGUGUAUCAGAAAAGCUACAGAUCCUGACAGCCUACUUGAGAAAAGAACACUUUUAUUGCAUUUGGUGUGGAACAACCUAUGAAGACUCUGAAGAUUUAUCUUCAAACUGUCCUGGAGACAGCGCUGCAGAUCAUGACUAAGCCUUUCUAGAGGAAGGAGUCCUAAAUAAAGUUAUACUGGCUCUACAGCAAUGAAGAGUUUCACAAGAUACAGCUCAAAGACAAGCAGUUGGAAGGACUAACAUGCCUGUCUUUUUGCCCUGCUCCCCACCAUUGCACACACAAUACUUUGAAUUCAGGCAGCUCUGAACUCUUUGAAGUAAAUAACUGAAGAGUAACAGAAAAAGUGCUGUUAACUUAUGUGGACCUGACAGUGGAACCACCAGAGGUAAAAAUUGCAAGUGAUUUCUUGCAGAAGUACACAAUCCUGGUCUGCAGCCAAUGGACAUGAAUGCUGAUGUGGCCUUCGAGCUGACGGACUCCACAGUGGCAGGAAGGCAAAGCACCAAGGAAAAGGCAUACCCCAAGUCUUGCUGUUACUUCUUACAUCUAUUGUUUUUUCAUCAGUUUCAAUAAAUCUAUCAAACUCUGGAUUUAAA